GUUUAGGCAAACAUAUAAAUGGAGGGGCUAAACAUGUACAAGGAAAAAGAUAUUUACUAAAAGCAAAAUAAGGAAAAACAAACACACACAUCUGGCGUGUGUGUGUGUGUCGCCCCAAGCAGGAGAAAAAGAGGAGAAACCCUAAAAUCCUUGAAGUUGCAAAAUUGAGAAGGGAAAUUGAAGCUAAUCAUAUGCAUGAAUCUGAAUGUGCAACCAUUUAAGCCUACUAAUCAAGUGGCAUAGGGAUCAUGUGGAAAUGGACUCAAGAACGGAAGGUUAACGGGUCAAGCGGAGGCGAGGAAGCAAGCAUGAACACUAACGCUCGAGGUAAGU
rnacentral:lncRNA from 1 species